rnacentral:rRNA from 1 species
CACGAACCGUACGAACGUUAUUCGGAAUUACUGGGCUUAAAGGGUUUGUAGGCGGCGCGGCAAGUGGGGUGUGAAAGCCCUCGGCUCAACCGAGGAAUUGCGCUCCAAACUGCCGUGCUUGAGGAACCUAGAGGUGAGCAGAACUGAUGGUGGAGCGGUGAAAUGCGUUGAUAUCAUCAGGAAUACCGGAGGCGAAGGCGGCUCACUGGGAGUUUUCUGACGCUGAGGGACGAAAGCCAGGGUAGCGAACGGG